rnacentral:rRNA from 1 species
AUUAGGUAGUUGGUGGGGUAAAGGCUUACCAAGCCUGCGAUCUGUAGCUGGUCUGAGAGGACGACCAGCCACACUGGGACUGAGACACGGCCCAGACUCCUACGGGAGGCAGCAGUGGGGAAUUUUGGACAAUGGGCGAAAGCCUGAUCCAGCAAUGCCGCGUGCAGGAUGAAGGCCCUCGGGUUGUAAACUGCUUUUGUACGGAACGAAAAGCUUCUCUCUAAUACAGGGAAGUGAUGACGGUACCGUAAGAAUAAGCACCGGCUAACUACGUGCCAGCAGCCGCGGUAAUACGUAGGGUGCAAGCGUUAAUCGGAAUUACUGGGCGUAAAGCGUGCGCAGGCGGUUUUGUAAGACAGAGGUGAAAUCCCCGGGCUCAACCUGGGAACUGCCUUUGUGACUGCAAGGCUAGAGUGCGGCAGAGGGGGAUGGAAUUCCGCGUGUAGCAGUGAAAUGCGUAGAUAUGCGGAGGAACACCGAUGGCGAAGGCAAUCCCCUGGGCCUGCACUGACGCUCAUGCACGAAAGCGUGGGGAGCAAACGGGAUUAGAUACCCUGGUAGUCCACGCCCU